rnacentral:rRNA from 1 species
AUGGUGGAUGAGUGGCGAACGGGUGAGUAACACGUGAGUAACCUACCCCCGACUUCGGGAUAAGCCCGGGAAACUGGGUCUAAUACCGGAUAUGACCUGCGCUCGCAUGAGUGUGGGUGGAAAGUUUUUUCGGUGGGGGAUGGGCUCGCGGCCUAUCAGUUUGUUGGUGAGGUAAUGGCUCACCAAGACGACGACGGGUAGCCGGCCUGAGAGGGCGACCGGCCACACUGGGACUGAGACACGGCCCAGACUCCUACGGGAGGCAGCAGUGGGGAAUAUUGCACAAUGGGGGAAACCCUGAUGCAGCGACGCAGCGUGCGGGAUGACGGCCUUCGGGUUGUAAACCGCUUUCAGCAGGGAAGAAGCCUCUUGGGGUGACGGUACCUGCAGAAGAAGUACCGGCUAACUACGUGCCAGCAGCCGCGGUAAUACGUAGGGUACGAGCGUUGUCCGGAAUUAUUGGGCGUAAAGAGCUCGUAGGUGGUUGGUCACGUCUGCUGUGGAAACGCAACGCUUAACGUUGCGCGUGCAGUGGGUACGGGCUGACUAGAGUGCAGUAGGGGAGUCUGGAAUUCCUGGUGUAGCGGUGAAAUGCGCAGAUAUCAGG